rnacentral:rRNA from 1 species
UACGGAGGGUGCGAGCGUGGUCCGGAAUCAUUGGGCGUAAAGGGCGCGUAGGUGGCCCCUCAAGCGUGCGGUGAAAGUCAGGGGCUCAACCCCUGAUCGGCCGUGCGAACUGGGGAGCUUGAGCACUGUAGAGGCAGGCGGAAUUCCGGGUGUAGCGGUGGAAUGCGUAGAGAUCCGGAAGAACACCGGUGGCGAAGGCGGCGACCUGGUUCCAGACUGACACUGAGGCGCGAAAGCGUGGGGAGCAAACAGG